rnacentral:rRNA from 1 species
UGGGGAAUUUUGGACAAUGGGCGCAAGCCUGAUCCAGCAAUGCCGCGUGCAGGAUGAAGGCCUUCGGGUUGUAAACUGCUUUUGUACGGGGCGAAAAGGUCUGCCCUAAUACGGUGGGCUCAUGACGGUACCGUAAGAAUAAGCGCCGGCUAACUACGUGCCAGCAGCCGCGGUAAUACGUAGGGUGCGAGCGUUAAUCGGAAUUACUGGGCGUAAAGCGUGUGCAGGCGGUUAUAUAAGACAGAUGUGAAAUCCCCGGGCUCAACCUGGGACCUGCAUUUGUGACUGUAUAGCUAGAGUACGGUAGAGGGGGAUGGAAUUCCGCGUGUAGCAGUGAAAUGCGUAGAUAUGCGGAGGAACACCGAUGGCGAAGGCAGCUUACUAUGGUUUUAUUGACGCUGAGGCACGAAAGCGUGGGGAGCAAACA